AUUGAACGCUGGCGGCAGGCCUAACACAUGCAAGUCGAACGAGUGGCGGACGGGUGAGUAAUGUCUGGGCAACUGCCUGAUGGAGGGGGAUAACUACUGGAAACGGUAGCUAAUACCGCAUACCAUCGGAUGUGCCCAGAUUGGCUUAGCUAGUAGGUGGGGUAACGGCUCACCUAGGCGACGAUCCCUAGCUGGUCUGAGAGGAUGACAAGCCACACUGGAACUGAGACACGGUCCAGACUCCUACGGGAGGGAGCAGUGGGGAAUAUUGCACAAUGGUGGCAAGCCUGAUGCAGCCAUGCCGCGUGUAUGAAGAAGGCCUUAGGGUUGGAAAGUACUUUCAGCGGGGAGGCGUUACCCGCAGAAGAAGCACCGGCUAACUCCGUGCCAGCAGCCGCGGUAAUUC
rnacentral:rRNA from 1 species